GUCCAGAAGAGUAAAGCCCAUCACAGGCUGGACACCAGAGAAUCCGCUCAGAAGACUCUCACUGAGUGGAUUCCAUAUAUGGAGGAAUAAUUUUGGGCACCAACUCUUUUUUAAAAAAAUAUUUUAUUUAUUUACUUAUGUGUACAUUUGUCUGUGUGAGGGUGUUGGAUCCCCUGCAAGUGGAGUUACAGACAGCUGUGAGCUGCCAUGUGGUUGCUGGGAAUUGAACCCAGGUCCUCUGGAAGAGCAGCCAGUGCUCUUAACCACUGCGCCAUCUCUCCAGCCCAGAGCACCAACUCUUAACUGCUAUUUAUUUGUGUAUGUGUAUCUUCCAGUUUGCUUUUCUGCUGCUGUGGUAAAACACUGACCAAAAGCAACUUGGUGUGGGGGGGAAGGAAACAUGGUACAGUCCAUCAUCAGGGAAACUCAAGAUGGGUGCCUGGAGGCAGGAACUAAAGCAGAGGCCAUGAAGGAACGCUGCUUACUGGCUUGCUCAGCCUGCUUUCUUACACCACCCACGACCACCUGUGCAGGUGUGGCAUGGUCUACGGUGGAUUGGCACACCCCCAUCAGUCGUUAAUCAAGAAACAGACACACCCAGGAGCUAAUCUGAUGGGAACAAUACCUCAGCUGAGGUUCUCAGGACCACUGAUGGGAACUGCUGAGAACCCAAGUUUACAGCUCUUUGCUGUUAUGACUAUGAAGAGAAAGGAAUGAAUCCAAGGGCCAGACAAAUGUCUCUUUCGGACAUCCUGCCUGGAAACCUGGCCUGCAGACUUGACUUCUCCCAGUCCCGGCACUGAAGGCUGGAGGUGGGCAGCGGGGCCCCAGUGCACCUGUGGGGCAGCUCCAUCCCCGGAG